GACGAACGCUGGCGGCGUGCCUAAUACAUGCAAGUAGAACGCUGAAGGAGGAGCUUGCUUCUCUGGAUGAGUUGCGAACGGGUGAGUAACGCGUAGGUAACCUGCCUGGUAGCGGGGGAUAACUAUUGGAAACGAUAGCUAAUACCGCAUAAUAGUAGAUGUUGCAUGACAUUUGCUUAAAAGGUGCAAUUGCAUCACUACCAGAUGGACCUGCGUUGUAUUAGCUAGUUGGUGGGGUAACGGCUCACCAAGGCGACGAUACAUAGCCGACCUGAGAGGGUGAUCGGCCACACUGGGACUGAGACACGGCCCAGACUCCUACGGGAGGCAGCAGUAGGGAAUCUUCGGCAAUGGACGGAAGUCUGACCGUGCAACGCCGCGUGAGUGAAGAAGGUUUUCGGAUCGUAAAGCUCUGUUGUAAGAGAAGAACGAGUGUGAGAGUGGAAAGUUCACACUGUGACGGUAUCUUACCAGAAAGGGACGGCUAACUACGUG
rnacentral:rRNA from 1 species